rnacentral:lncRNA from 1 species
AACGACCCUAAUCACAAGGAUGAUAUUAAUAUGACAUCAAAUUUGCAUUGAUGGGUCCUGAAUUUGACUUUAAACUCAUUCAAAAUUGAACAAGGAGCCUUUGAGGCAUGACACCACCACCCAUUGAAAAUAAUGUUGAUUGAAUUUGUGAAGGUCAUAUGCUUUCAUAAAUACUACAAGGAUUUGGAUUUUAGAAUUUUAUAACAAGUCACAUAAACUGAUAUUUUUGAUAAAAACUUCAAAAACAGGUCCAUCCUAGGGCAAACAUACUCCACCAAUGGAAAAUUUGACGACAAUCAGGAACUACAGACGAAAGUAAUCAAUAAAUGGUAAAUUCUUUAACCUGAACAUGAUCGAUAAGAGACUCCCUCAUCUGGAAAGGCCACCAAUUUUAAGCAUAGAUUUUUCUAAAGUAAUUGAAUAAGACAAAAAAAAUCAAUACUAAAAAGUAGUAUGGUAGAACAACGAGAACGGCAGAAAUUGAUAAAAUGUCAAAGAAAUAAAUUAAAUUAGUGAAAGAAAAUGCGAGCUAAUAAUUUAAAAUAGUGGAAAAUCAAAUUCCAUAGCAAUGAAGACAAAAGAGCAAACACCAGAUCGGAACAGAACACCAUAAAAUCAUAACAACUAGGCAAGUUUUAACCAGGGUACUUUAGAAAAGAUAAGCUUUCGUAAGCAACCCCAAAAAAAAUCUUGAAAGAGAGAAGGGAACAAUGUUCUCCCAUAAUAACAAAUGAUACCUCGAACACAAGUGCGAACAAAUCCCUCAGAAACAGAUUAUUCCAUUCAUCAAAAGGAUGUCAGACCACUACUUUAAUCUCACAAACUAAUCUUCGCAGGGAUUCAAAGAGCAUGGUAAUGGCAUAAACACAAAGCAUAUCCAAAGAAACAAACCUAAAACAAGUUUCCUCAGUUCAGGUCUCCAUGAAGCUUCCGCAUUGUAUAACAAACACCUCGGAAGAACGAAAGUUUUUUUUCUGAUCAUCAUUGGAAACUAUAUUUAAACAAAAAAGAAAGAUCAAGUAUUCGAGAAAAAUGAGAAAAGAAAUAGUAUGACUUGAUGGGUCUCCUCAGUUCAGGUCUCCAUAAACUUUUCCGCACGGAUGGCGAUCAUCACCACCACUCUCGGAAGAACGAAAGUUAUUCUUUUGAUCAUCAUCGGAGACACCCCCCAGCUUUCAAUACAGUAUAACACGAAAGAUUUUUCCGUCAUUAGAUUGGAUCUCAAGCAGGAGAGAGGAGAAGGGAACAGCUUUCGUCUCGCGGCCACCGGAGAAAGAGCAAGCCAAAGCGUACCGAGAGGUGGAAUUUAUAGAAGGGGAGACCCACGGAUGGCCUGUCCUUAGAACCCUAACCCUAGCACCAGGGUUUGGUAUGCAUACGGCUGGC